CAGUUUUACCGAGCAAGCUCUUUCCAGC
rnacentral:sRNA from 1 species